rnacentral:rRNA from 1 species
UACGGGGGGGGCAAGCGUUGUUCGGAAUUACUGGGCGUAAAGGGCUCGUAGGCGGCCAACUAAGUCAGACGUGAAAUCCCUCGGCUUAACCGGGGAACUGCAUCUGAUACUGGAUGGCUUGAGAUUGGGAGAGGGAUGCGGAAUUCCAGGUGUAGCGGUGAAAUGCGUAGAUAUCGUCCAGAACACCGAUAGCGAAGGCAGCUUACUAAGGAGUAACUGACGCUGAGGCACGAAAGUGUGGGGAUCAAACAGG